rnacentral:misc_RNA from 1 species
GAUGAAGAACGUAGCGAAAUGCGAUACUUGGUGUGAAUUGCAGAAUCCCGUGAACCAUCGAGUCUUUGAACGCAAGUUGCGCCCGAAGCCAUUAGGCCGAGGGCACGCCUGCCUGGGCGUCACACGUCGUUGCCCCCCCAUCUACUCCUUCGGGAUUGUGGGGGGCGGAUGAUGGCCUCCCGUGCGCCUCGUCGCGCGGUUGGCAUAAAUGCCAAGUCCUCGGCGACGCACGCCACGACAAUCGGUGGUUGCGAAACCUCGGUUGCCCGUCGUGUGCGGUCGUCGCGCAUCGAGGGCUCGAAAAAAUUGUCGGGCUCCGGCUCGGCUUUCAACGCGACCCCAGGUCAGGCGGGGUUACCCGCUGAAUUUAAGCAUAUCAAUAAGCGGAGGA